UUAUAACCCUGUGAAUUUUAAUCACCCUUUUCGAUCCAAAUAGCCGUAUUUACUAGAAAUAUGGCGCCACGUAAAGGGAAGGUGCAAAAGCAAGAAGUGCAGGUCAACCUUGGCCCCCAGGUUCCAGAGGGAGAGAAUGUGUUUGGGGUUGCCCAUAUCUUUGCCUCAUUCAAUGACACAUUUGUUCAUGUGACUGAUCUGUCUGGCAGGGAAACUAUCGCAAGGGUUACUGGUGGUAUGAAGGUAAAGGCUGAUCGUGAUGAAGCUUCACCAUACGCUGCCAUGUUGGCUGCCCAGGAUGUUGCUGUCAGAUGCAAAGACCUUGGUAUCACAGCUCUUCAUAUCAAGCUCAGGGCAACAGGAGGAAACAAGACCAAGACCCCUGGACCUGGUGCUCAGUCUGCUCUCCGUGCCUUGGCUCGCUCUGGCAUGAAGAUUGGUCGCAUUGGUAAGAACCCUCUCAAUUUCUCUAGUUGGCUGUUAGGUGGUAUAUUGUGAAACUUAGUGAAGGAUUAUCCAUCUCCCCGCUGCGACAGUAUCAGGGCUGACAGUGAAUAAGGUCUAGUGAUAUUGAUGAUAUUCAUCUCCAUACUUUGGUUUUACGUGACCACUAAGAAAAGAUUUUUAUGAUAUUGGAGUAAAUAAAAUAAUCCCAAAACAAACACCAAAAGCUGAUGGGGGAAAAAGUAAAUGCAAAUGGUACAACAAACCUCCAAGGCCCAUUGGGGGUAUCAAGGCCAGUCAAUGAGGUAUCCAUGACCAUGGCCUUGGAUUAAUUUAAGCCCUAUAUUGUGUUGACCAUUACAACCAAAAAUAAUCACAGGAAGUGCUUAAUUAGUGGACCAUGUUGGAUGACAAUGAGAGUGAGACCCCCUUCCCUGUACACUCCUCCACUGUCACAUUUCUAUAGAGAUAAUAAAUCUUUUGUCACCUUUCCUGACCUGCUUAGAGUCCAAAGUUUUGAAAAGACAUUUGAUUUCAGAAUUCAAUUCUCUCUAGAAAGUAGGUACAUUUAAAUGUGAGGCUGGUAAUUCUUUUCAUUUGUUAAUCAGUUACGAACUAUCGAAAAGUUACACCCAGCUGUAGCAAAGCUCUGUCAAUGAGGUAUUCUUUUUUCAUAGUUUAGAUUUAAACAAAGACAAAAUCAGAUAUCAUUUCUUUUGGUGGUUAGUUGUUGAGUUUAUUUGAUUGAAUAACCUUUUGAAGAGCUGGAAAGGACACGGUGUGUGUUCAUGGUAUGGAACACAUUCAUACUGCUGAUUUCAGCAUUUUAACAUUGUGAAUCAUAUUUCAAAUAGUCAACUAUGUAAACACAUUGUGAACCCAUAAUGUCCAGGUAUCCAUAGUAUAAAAUUCAACAGUGUGAAUUACAUCUUCACAUAUAGUCGAUUAGACAUUUCUAGGUUGGUUUUAUAAUGAGCCUAUGGGACUGUCAAAUCGACUAAUAGUCUGCUGUAUGGACACACUACAUGUAUGUAAUACUGUUCUUUCCUGUAGGGAAUGUCAUUUCAUUGGAUAAUGAAACCUUUGGAACAAGUGAGAUGUGUGAAAGCAGAAAAAUGCAAGUAAAAGAUUGAGUAAAACUGGACAAAUAGAAAGUUAUGAACAUUUGAAUGUUGUGAAGAACUCUUAACGCUGUCUAUGGAGAUCCUCUGAUAUGCAAUACGAACAAGAUCUGUGAUGGUACGACUCUCCCCUUUGGACUCUGAAAAGUGAAAAUGUACUUUUGCACAUUCUAAUGAUAGGACAAACAAUUCAUCCAUGAUAUGAUGUAGAACCUGUAUUACAUGCCCCCUCAUGAAAAAGAACACCUGAUGUUGUGAUUGUAGCUAAACGUAAAAAUUAAAUGAAGUACAGUGCACUAAAGUAAUGGGAAACUUAAAGGUCAAGUCCACCCCAGAAAAUUGUUGAUUUGAAUCGAUAGAGAAAAAUCAAACAAACAUAACGCUGCAAAUUUCAUCGAAAUCGGAUGUAAAAUAAGAAAGUUAUGACAUUUUUAAAUUUUAAGUUUCAUUUAUCUUUCACAAAACAGUUAAAAGCACAACUCAGUGAUAUGCAAAUGAGAGAGUCGAUGAUGCCAUCACUCACUAUUUCUUUUGUUUUUUAUUGUUUGAAUAAUACAAUAUUUCAAUUUUUACAAAUUUGACAAUAAGGACCAACUUAAUUUAACCAUAAACUGUUAAAAUAUUGGUAAUUUCACAUGUUCAGGGAGAAAUUAAACUUUGUUUCACUUGACAAGGAGGAGAAAAUUAGAAUAUUUCAUAUAAUAAAAUACAAAAGAAAUAGUGAGUGGGUGACGUCAUCAGUCUGCCAAUUCGCAUACCGACCAGGAUGUGCAUAAUAACUGUUUUGUGAAAUUAAGCGAAACUUUAAAAUGUCAUAACUUUCUUAUUCUACAUCCGAUUUUGAUAAAAUUUUCAGUGUUUUGCUUGUUGGAUUUUUCUCCUUUUUUUCAAAUCAACUUUUUGUUGGGGUUUAAGUUGUACAUGUGUAGCUUCACCAAUUUUCCAAUUGGAGGAUCUACAUUUACAUAGCAUUUAUAGUGAUUCCAAUAUUUAAAUGCUAUUUAUUCUUCAUUCAAUCUUCGUCAAACUUUUGUUAUUCUGUUUCUUUGUUUUUUCUUCUUUGAUUUUUUCAUUUUUCUCUUGAAGUAAUUCAACUGGUUUCAAGUGUUUCAUUCUCAAUUUUUUUCCUUAAAAAAGAAUAGAUUUCAAAGACUAGGGAAUUGUGUGUAUGGCAGUAACUGGCUAGCAAAGUAAUUUGAGUCCAUCACAUUUUGUGUAUUGAUUUAUUUCUUUGCUUUAGGGCAAUUCUAUGAAAUAAAUGCAUACAACCCCCUAUAUGUUCGAUCUUCCUGAAUUGAUUUGUCACUGCUUACAAGGUCAUACAGCAAUGCAUCUUGAACUCACCCAAUUUGUGUUAUGUCUUCCAAAUCUAAUGACGGCGCACCUAAUGGUAUAUAAAUGGUCAUAACUUUGAAAAUAUUCACCCUUUCCAAACAAACAUACAUGUAUACCUUUUCUGAAAGGAAAUUUCAUGAGGAUUCCAAAAAUGGCAUUAAAAAUGAGGGUCUUAUGACUGAAAAUGUUCAAAUUUUUAGGACCCCUAGUACCGUAAGUAACGGACUAUAAACCGCACCCCCAACUUUGGACUAU